UACGUAGGGGGCAAGCGUUGUCCGGAAUCAUUGGGCGUAAAGAGCGUGUAGGCGGCCCGGUAAGUCCGCUGUGAAAGUCGGGGGCUCAACCCUCGAAUGCCGGUGGAUACUGUCGGGCUAGAGUGCGGAAGAGGCGAGUGGAAUUCCUGGUGUAGCGGUGAAAUGCGCAGAUAUCAGGAGGAACACCGAUUGCGAAGGCAGCUCGCUGGGACGUCACUGACGCUGAGACGCGAAAGCGUGGGGAGCGAACAGG
rnacentral:rRNA from 1 species